AUUGAACGCUGGCGGCAGGCCUAACACAUGCAAGUCGAGCGGAUGAAGGGAGCUUGCUCCUGGAUUCAGCGGCGGACGGGUGAGUAAUGCCUAGGAAUCUGCCUGGUAGUGGGGGAUAACGUCCGGAAACGGGCGCUAAUACCGCAUACGUCCUGAGGGAGAAAGUGGGGGAUCUUCGGACCUCACGCUAUCAGAUGAGCCUAGGUCGGAUUAGCUAGUUGGUGGGGUAAAGGCCUACCAAGGCGACGAUCCGUAACUGGUCUGAGAGGAUGAUCAGUCACACUGGAACGGAGACACGGUCCAUACUCCUACGGGAGGCAGCAGUGGGGAAUAUUGGACAAUGGGCGAAAGCCUGAUCCAGCCAUGCCGCGUGUGUGAAGAAGGUCUUCGGAUUGUAAAGCACUUUAUGUUGGGAGGAAGGGCAGUAAGUUAAUACCUUGCUGUUUUGACGUUACCAACAGAAUAAGCACCGGCUAACUUCGUG
rnacentral:rRNA from 1 species